GCCGACACUGAUUCACGGCGAGCAACGUGCGCCACUUCCUCAUUUCUCAAGGCCGACAUUUCAAACGCCGAGCCGCCCCUCCUUUGGGAAGCGCACAGGUGGGACAGGGGUAAAAAGCUGGCACCAACCUCGUUUGUCCUCCAAGUCCUGGAGGAACUGUCUGUACGCCGCCGCAGAGCUCAUCCCUCCCCCCCACCUUGAGGGCCCAGUCCGGCCGGGGGACAGGCGAUUAGGACGCUCGGGUGGACGUGGGACAGCGGCGGGGCGAGCGGCGAGGUGUACACAGGCAGCAAGGUGAGCUGAAGAUCCACAUUGUCAAAGAAAAGCGGGGUAAUCCCUCAUUGCUGUCUCGCUUCUUCUCCUACACGUCUCAGCCUGGACCUACGAGUGCACAAAUGCCAGGACUGCUCUGCUGUUUUUUGUGACCAACGGCAAAACACCAGUCAAAGCUCCACUCUGUGACAGUAACACGGGAAGUAGGAACUGCAAAAAUAAAUCUCUAUGACAGCACUUCAGAAGGGCUCUGUUGUUUUUAAGGACACACUGCAAAAAUACUAAUCAAAGAUCCUCAACAUGACAAAUGCAUUUUGCAGUUCUUAAAUACUUACUCCAAAAAUAUGACUCACAAGUUUGAACUGAACUUGUGACUCGCUGUGAUGUCAUUCAUUGCCUGGAUUUGGCCCACAGGGCACAAGUUCUUCAUCUAGAACAUCAGCAGUGAGCAUUGUGUUAGAUACACAUGCAUAUAAAAGCAGUUUUAAAAAACUGUUCCAGGAUAGGAACGCUCCCUUCUUAUUGAGGUCUUAAUGCAUCAUUAUGCUUAUUAUUGCAUUCUUCUUCUCCAGAUUUUGGCACGUUCUACCUUCCAAAUUUUUCACCUGAUUCAAACCGUUCCAACUUCAAACUGCGAGCUUUCCCUUGACAAAUUUCAAACAUUCCCAGAUUUCCUGGACAUUUUUCCCAUUCAAAAUGAAUUGGCUAUUUUUCACACUUUACCAAUUUCCACAUUUUUCAACCAAUUCAAACAAUUCCACCAUUCUGGAAAAUCAACUCCCCUUUUUCCGAGUCCCAAAAAAUUCCAGGAUUUUCCAGAAUUCCUGGUUUUCCAAAGCCUUUUUUCUGGCGACUACUCCUCCCACAUAUGUCAACCCAUUUCAACCGUUCCACCGUCAAAACAUUCUUCUUAGUUAUGACAAAAAAAACAAAGUCUUUUUUUUGGAACUGGAAAAAUUCCCGGUUUUCCUGAAAUUCCAGGAGUUACGUAAUACCAUUUCUUAACUCGACAUGUUACUACUUCAACAUUUCUCGACCGAUUGAAAAAAUUUUAAGACUAACCAUUUCAACUCAUUCAGACCAUUACAGUUUAAUAACCAUUUUAAAAACAAUUCACGCUUUUCCCGAUAUUCCCCAAUUUUGGGGGAAAUUACCAUUCAACUCAGUGGGAUAUUGGACACAGUAUGUUGUCAAGAUUAUGAGAUGCAAUGCAAGUGCAAGCCACUGUGACACUAUUGUUUUUUUAAAUGUUUUUAUUGUAUAUAAAUGUCUUUAAUAAUGUCAAUGGGGGAUUUUCAAUCACAGCUAUGUUGAAAUUGUUAUUAAUAUUGAUACUUAAUAUUCAUUUUUGUCUGAUUGUUUUGUGUGUCCUCUCAAUUGCUCUGUUUAUUGCUAUUCUGAAUUGCUGGGUCGUAGUUUGGUUUUGGGAUUACAUUAUUAUGGUGUGGUUGUGUAUUGUUCUGUUGGAUUGAUUAAAAAGUUCCAAAAUUCCCA